GACGAACGCUGGCGGCGUACUUAACACAUGCAAGUCGAACGGAAAGGCCCUGCUUUUGUGGGGUGCUCGAGUGGCGAACGGGUGAGUAACACGUGAGUAACCUGCCCUUGACUUUGGGAUAACUUCAGGAAACUGGGGCUAAUACCGGAUAGGAGCUCCUGCUGCAUGGUGGGGGUUGGAAAGUUUCGGCGGUUGGGGAUGGACUCGCGGCUUAUCAGCUUGUUGGUGGGGUAGUGGCUUACCAAGGCUUUGACGGGUAGCCGGCCUGAGAGGGUGACCGGCCACAUUGGGACUGAGAUACGGCCCAGACUCCUACGGGAGGCAGCAGUGGGGAAUAUUGCACAAUGGGCGGAAGCCUGAUGCAGCAACGCCGCGUGCGGGAUGACGGCCUUCGGGUUGUAAACCGCUUUCGCCUGUGACGAAGCGUGAGUGACGGUAAUGGGUAAAGAAGCACCGGCUAACUACGUGCCAGCAGCCGCGGUGAUACGUAGGGUGCGAGCGUUGUCCGGAUUUAUUGGGCGUAAAGGGCUCGUAGGUGGUUGAUCGCGUCGGAAGUGUAAUCUUGGGGCUUAACCCUGAGCGUGCUUUCGAUACGGGUUGACUUGAGGAAGGUAGGGGAGAAUGGAAUUCCUGGUGGAGCGGUGGAAUGCGCAGAUAUCAGGAGGAACACCAGUGGCGAAGGCGGUUCUCUGGGCCUUUCCUGACGCUGAGGAGCGAAAGCGUGGGGAGCGAACAGGCUUAGAUACCCUGGUAGUCCACGCUGUAAACGGUGGGUACUAGGUGUGGGGUCCAUUCCACGGGUUCCGUGCCGUAGCUAACGCUUUAAGUACCCCGCCUGGGGAGUACGGCCGCAAGGCUAAAACUCAAAGGAAUUGACGGGGCCCCGCACAAGCGGCGGAGCAUGCGGAUUAAUUCGAUGCAACGCGUAGAACCUUACCUGGGUUUGACAUGGAUCGGGAGUGCUCAGAGAUGGGUGUGCCUCUUUUGGGGUCGGUUCACAGGUGGUGCAUGCCUGUCGUCAGCUCGUGUCGUGAGAUGUUGGGUUAAGUCCCGCAACGAGCGCAACCCUUGUUCACUGUUGCCAGCACGUUAUGGUGGGGACUCAGUGGAGACCGCCGGGGUCAACUCGGAGGAAGGUGGGGAUGACGUCAAGUCAUCAUGCCCCUUAUGUCCAGGGCUUCACGCAUGCUACAAUGGCUGGUACAGAGAGUGGCGAGCCUGUGAGGGUGAGCGAAUCUCGGAAAGCCGGUCUCAGUUCGGAUUGGGGUCUGCAACUCGACCUCAUGAAGUCGGAGUCGCUAGUAAUCGCAGAUCAGCAACGCUGCGGUGAAUACGUUCCCGGGGCU
rnacentral:rRNA from 1 species